rnacentral:lncRNA from 1 species
AGUGCUGCAACAUAAUUUUAUUGCAAGGAAUAAAUAAACAGCAUAUUAAAAGUAGAAGAAAUAAACAGAAAAUAUUAGGGAAUAAUCUCUGAGCAAGUGCUAUUAGAAAUAAGAGUGCUUUCUUUUUAUUUUUUUUUUUUUUUUAAUAGCAUUGCUAAUGGCACUGGGUAAGAAGUGAUUUGUUUGGCUGUAAAUCUGAAAUGAGAAAUUAACUUUAUUUAGCAGGUCAUCCUUCACAAAUGCUAGAGUUCAGCUGAAGUAAAGUUAUGCUCUGGUCAGUUCCUCUCAGAAAUGCCAAGAUCCUUUAGAACACUGAAAUUUUUAAAUGCUGAAAUACUGCAGGAUAAUUCCUAUGUUCCAUAUAUGCUUACAUUGCUGAACAAUGGCAGAAGUUGGCAAAUCCUUUUCAAAAGACCAAUUCCCAUCUUGAGUAAUUCCACUGUUACUCAAUGCACAGUUCCCAGGCAGUGCAGUACAACUCCCUGGCGUCUCAGAGGGCAUUUUAUAUUAGAUAGGAUGGAUACUUUAAAUAGCCCCAGAUUCAGUUCCAGUUCACACUUUAGACUAAUAAGGCUGAAAGGAAUUCAAUUUUUCCACUUUUUUUUUUCUUACUCAGUGUGGUCCUUUCCUCAGAGCAUUCUGGUUAAUGUUACUUUCUGGUUCUCAAGUAUUAGGCAGUGUCUCCCUGGCUUCACUUUUCUUGUCUUUGUAGCAGUAACUCCUCCUGAGUCUCUGUGAUUCCUUGCUAUUGCUAUGUUGGGAAAGUCAGAGGGCUACAAGAAAUGUGUGCCCAGGCAGAGAAAGGCUCAGAUUCUCUGUGUCAUGGCUGAAUGGUCUAUUACAAUGGAGCUGCUGUAUGAAAAAAAAGCUUCUUCCAUUUCUUUUCUUUUUAAAAGAAAAGAGUGAUCUCUCUUUGGCCUUGGAACAAAUUCAGACAUUAACUACAAGGAAAUAGUUCAGGCACAAGACACAGGGAAAAAUUAUGUAGCACAAAUGGCCAAGGCAACCCUGGAGCAAGAGAGCCUUUACUGACACUCUCUGGUGUCUGCACAGUCCCUUUGUUGGCACUUGAGAACCCCUUUUCUUGGUAUCAAUUUGUCUCUCAGGUACUGUAAAGAGAGGCCUGAACUGUCUAAAACACCUUGAAGCCCCAGGAGCCAAAGUCUAGAAGACAGGUAUUGAAAUGCUGAGCAGAGUUACCUUUGUCUUCCCCUCUGUGUGUCUUGUUCUUCAGCACAUGUUCUUUUGUCAUAAACUCAUUUAACAUUUUAGAUUUAAAAUCUACCAUGACUGUUUUCAUGUUUGAUGCUUCAGCAUGUUCUUCAAGGAUGAUAGAUAGCCCUUCAUAUUUGUUUUAAAGAUCAUGCAAAUCUUUUAUGGCUCUGAACUAUACAUUUCAGCUUUGUAGCUCUAGAAAUAGAGUUCUAACUCUGGAAAAUAUAUUUCUUAUUCACUUAAGGUACAACCAAGACUAUUGCUGGAGAAACAGCAAAGUCUUUUCUUUGAUUCCAUUAUAAUAACAUGUAUUAUUGAUCUUAGAAAAAAACAGUAUAACUGUAGAGUGGAAGACAGACAAAAUUAUCUCCACAAGAGUGGAACAAAAGAGUAGCCCUUGCCUUGGUGCAUUUGCAUUUGCUCUAUAAGCACAUCACACAGGCUGACUGAUGAGUGUAGGAAAAAAUAAGGGACCUGUCCUGUCAGCACACAACUGCCUGGCCCUGAGCCUGGAAAAAGCACAGAGAAAUGACAAUCAGCCCAGUAAAAACAACUGGGUAAGGAAACAGGCUUUUUGUAAAAGUGCCCACUUGGUACUGCUGACCUCUUGGGCAUGUGAGAGCUCCUGGGGAAAGCUGUGGGAGUCAUGGCCAUCGAAAGUUUGCUGGCAGGAAUAAAAUGUUGUAUUCACAUGUCCUCUGAAUAGAGAGAGAUUUAAAUUUCUCAGGAUUUCUCCUGAGAGAAGCUGUGAGAGAAGCAGAGAAAAGAGAAUCAAAACAAUUCUUAUCUCACUGCACUGGUUGUUGUGCACAUGUGGAAAGUGUUAUGAAGAUUGCUUACACAAGGCGAUUUCUCAAUGGGAGACUGGUGACAGUGUUUUGGAUUGAUUGACCAGUUGGAUCCAUGUGUGUGUCAGGACUCUCGGCAGAGAGAGUAAGGGGUUUUCUAGUUAGUGAUAGUUCUUGUUAGUGUAAUAUAGUUUUAGUAUAAUAUAGUAUAAUAAAGUAAUUAAUUUGCCUUCUGAUAUCAUGGAGUUCUGCACAGCAUACUUCCCACGUCAGGGAUCCCAGCACCAAUAAUAAACCACUACUGCAUGCCAGAAUUGAUCCCGCUCAUUCACAAACCUCAUGGACUGUGAGGAAGAAGGACUAGAAAUCCCAGGCAGAGUGGCAGGCAUAGGCUCAUUUGGCAAAUACAACCAGAGAAGAAAUAUUUCAGCCACACAGGCUGUGGUGUCAACACUUUGAGGCUGAAUUUACCAUAACUGACUACAUGGAAAAACACAUUCACCAAUUAGGAGCUAACUUACAAAUCCAUGAAACAUAAGAGACUCCAAAGCAGAUGUCUAAAGAUGGCAAUCCUUCUGUAUUCCAACAAGACAGCUUGCUGGCCAUGCCAAACACGAGAUCUCUGUUUUCCUCAGGAGUAAUAAUGAUUAAAAUUGGUUGAAAUGCCUGCCUGUGGGAAUUAAAGGACAAGAAGGAAUUAAGAGUUGGACUCCUACUGAGAUGGUGAGACACUAGUGUGUGAUAAUCUUUUGAAGGCUGAACCUGAAGCAGAGGAAAAAAACAGCCGAGUGCUCACACUUAA